rnacentral:rRNA from 1 species
UACAGAGGGUGCGAGCGUUGUUCGGAAUUAUUGGGCGUAAAGGGCGCGUAGGCGGUGCGGUAAGUCACCUGUGAAAUCUCCUGGCUCAACUGGGAGCUUGCAGGCGAAACUGCCGUGCUGGAGUGUGGGAGAGGGUGCGUGGAAUUCCCGGUGUAGCGGUGAAAUGCGUAGAUAUCGGGAGGAACGACCUGUGGCGAAAGCGGACGCACUGGACCACAACUGACGCUGAGGCGCGAAAAGCCAGGGGAGGCAAGCGGG